UACGAAGGGUGCAAGCGUUACUCGGAAUUACUGGGCGUAAAGCGUGCGUAGGUGGUUCGUUAAGUCUGAUGUGAAAGCCCUGGGCUCCACCUGGGAAUGGCAUUGGAAACUGGCGACCUAGAGUGCGGUAGAGGGUAGUGGAAUUCCCGGUGUAGCAGUGAAAUGCGUAGAGAUCGGGAGGAACAUCCGUGGCGAAGGCGACUACCUGGACCAGCACUGACACUGAGGCACGAAAGCGUGGGGAGCAAACAGG
rnacentral:rRNA from 1 species